AGUUAACGCUGGCGGCGUGCCUAACACAUGCAAGUCGAGCGAGCUUUUGCAGCUUAUCGCAAGAGCUAGCGGCAGACGGGUGAGUAACACGUGGGAAACCUGCACUAAAGUGGGGGAUACCCCCGGGAAACCGGGGCUAAUACCGCAUAAGACCACAACCUGGCAUCAGGAAGGGGUCAAACCCGAAAGGGGCUUUUGUAUGGUCCUGCGUCCUAUCAGCUAGUUGGUGAGGUAACGGCCCACCAAGGCUAUGACGGGUAUCCGGCCUGAAAGGGUGUACGGACACACUGGAACUGAGACACGGUCCAGACUCCUACGGGAGGCAGCAGUGGGGAAUUUUGGACAAUGGCCUAACGGCUGAUCCAGCGACGCCGCGUGAAGGACGAAGGUCUUCGGAUUGUAAACUUCUUUUGGAGGGGACGAAAAAAAUGACGGUACCCUCAGAAUAAGCCACGGCUAACUACGUGCCAGCAGCCGCCGUAACAC
rnacentral:rRNA from 1 species